rnacentral:sRNA from 1 species
GGGGUUAGCUGUAAGUGGGCAGGAGAGCGCUUAUGAUGAAAAUGUUCUAAAACUGUUACAACUAAUUGAUCACAACCAGUUACAGAUUCCUUUGUUCCUUCUCCACUCCCACUGCUCCAUUUGACCAGCCUUUA